rfam:Streptomyces yokosukanensis strain DSM 40224 genomic scaffold PRJNA299221_s002, whole genome shotgun sequence.
CUUCACCGAGCCCAGCCACAGGGGCUCCGCGCGGUCCUGGCCGUAGGUGGCCAGCAGCGCCUGGGCCUC